AUUGAACGCUGGCGGCAGGCCUAAUACAUGCAAGUCGAACGGUAACAUAAAAGAAGCUUGCUUCUUUUGAUGACGAGUGGCGGACGGGUGAGUAAUAUUUGGGAAACUACCUGAUAGAGGGGGACAACAGUUGGAAACGACUGCUAAUACCGCAUGACAUAUAUUAAGGGCAUCCUUGAUAUAUCAAAGAUUUAUCGCUGAAAGAUGGCCUCGCGUCCGAUUAGAUAGUUGGCGGGGUAACGGCCCACCAAGUCGACGAUCGGUAGCCGGACUGAGAGGUUGACCGGCCACAUUGGGACUGAGAUACGGCCCAGACUCCUACGGGAGGCAGCAGUGGGAAUAUUGGGCAAUGGACGCAAGUCUGACCCAGCAACGCCGCGUGAAGGAAGAAAGGCUUUCGGGUUGUAAACUUCUUUUAAGAGGGAAGAGCAGAAGACGGUAACCUCUUGAAUAAGCCAGGCUAACUACGUG
rnacentral:rRNA from 1 species